GUGCAGCAGGCGAGAAACCUUCGCAAUGCAGGAAACUGCGACGAGGGAACUCCAAGUGCCUACGCUCAGCGUAGGCUGUUCUCAAGCCUAGAAAGCUUGAGGAGUAAGGGCUGGGUAAGACGGGUGCCAUCUGUGGUAGCAGUCAAUAGAUUCGAUUUGUUACUGCAAGGCAUAAGCCGCCGCGGUAAUACCCGCAGCCCAAGUGGUGGCCGCUUUUAUUGGGCCUAAAGCGUCCGUAGCCGGCCCGGUAAAUGCCUGGGUAAAUCGUGGAGCCCAACUUCACGAAUUCCGGGUAGACUGCCGAGCUCGGGACCGGAAGAGGGAGAGGGUACUUCGAGGGGUAGGGUGAAAAUUUCCUUUCCAUUAACGCUUUGCG
rnacentral:rRNA from 1 species